rnacentral:rRNA from 1 species
UACGUAGGGUCCGAGCGUUGUCCGGAAUUAUUGGGCGUAAAGCGUGCGCAGGCGGUUAUGCAAGACAGAUGUGAAAUCCCCGGGCUCAACCUGGGAACUGCAUUUGUGACUGCAUGGCUAGAGUACGGUAGAGGGGGAUGGAAUUCCGCGUGUAGCAGUGAAAUGCGUAGAUAUGCGGAGGAACACCGAUGGCGAAGGCAAUCCCCUGGACCUGUACUGACGCUCAUGCACGAAAGCGUGGGGAGCAAACAGG